rnacentral:lncRNA from 1 species
UUCAUAUGUUUAUAUAUUUAUAAGGUUUCACUUUUAUAUACAGUCAUAUAUUCAUAAGUUUACAUACAUUCGUUAUACACUUUUUUUUAAUCAUUUUUUUAUUUUUUUUUGAACAUUAUUUUGUUAUCUUUAUGAAAAUUUAUGUUGCUCCAACUACAACCCCAAAAUUUUUUUUUUUUUUUUUUUCCUAUGUCAUCACUAUAUUUAUGUUUUUUUAUUUUAUUUUAUUUUUUUUUUUUUUUGUUGUCUUACAAUUGACUUACCUUAUUUAUAAACUAUAAACCAUUUAAAUCAAUAAACAAAACGUUUUGUUUAAACUCACAAAUUUUACAUUCGCUAAUUAUUUUAUUUUUUUAAAGAAUUAAUAUGUGAUACUACUGAUGAAACUAUGUAUUACUUAAAAAAAUAUGAGCAUAAAGUUUGGACAGAAACGUUAAGAUUUUUGGGCUUUACAAUUAAAUGGGGAAUUCAUGAAAAUGGGUAUUGGUUAACAAACUUGAACUACUCAUUUGAUUAUAUGUUAUCAAAUCUAAUCAUAAAAUAUUUUAAGGAAAAGAAAGUAAAAUCAGUUUUAGAUGUUGGGUGCGGGUAUGGUUAUUAUGUAAACGAAUUAAAUUUUCAUAAAAUAAAGUCAUUAGGAAUAGAUGGUAAUUCCAAGCUUGUAAAUUCUUUGAAAAAUGAAAACAUAUAUAGUUUUGAUGCCACUAACGAAUAUUUUAUAUCGAAUAUCCUAAGUAUAAUAAACAAUGAGAACAAAAAGAUCGUUACAAAUAAAACGAAUCACUUAGAAGAUAAUAAAACUCAUAAAAAAAAUACAAAUAUUGCUAAAAACAGCUUAUAUUUUGAUUAUGUGUUAUGUUUGAACGUUGGUGAAUAUAUUCCGAAGAAAAAGGAAGAAAUAUUUCUUAAAAAUUUGGACAGGUUAAAUAACAAAGGAAUAAUAAUUUCAUGGGACGUACCGGACAGUUUUAAUAUAGGAACAAUUAAUGAAAAAAGCAACGAAGAAAUGUUAGACAUUUUUACAAACAAUUAUAAUUAUACUUAUAAUGAAAAACAUAGUAAACUAUUUCGAGAAAGUUGUAGUAACAAUAUUUUUAAGAAUUGCACAUAUAUUUUUGAAAAAAAAAAAUGAUUUAUUUUAUUUUUAUAAUUUGAAUUUUUUUUUUUUUUUAUAUAAUAUAUUGUUUUUUAAAUAUAAGUUUUUUUUCCCAUUAUUAUCAAUACUAGAAUAUUAUUAUUGCUACUUUUACAACAUCCAGCUUUAUUAUUAUGUCUAAUGUUUAUGGUAUUUUUUUUUUUUUUGCUAUUAUCAAAUUUAUUAUAACUUUUAUUAUUACCGAUUUUACAACAUUUUCUUUUUUUUUAUUUUUGAAAAUUUACUUAGCUAGCUAGUUAUAAACCGUUUUAUUAACAUAAGCAAGACAUAGCUCUUAUUGUAAAUAGGGCUAAGUUAGCAACUGACUUGCUAAAAUGGCUAAAACACUCAAAUCAAGUUGGAAAAAAAAAAAAAAAAAAAAAAAAAAAAAAAAAAAAAAAAAAAAAAAAGCAAAAGUAUUAUAAAUGGCAUAAUGAAUAUUUAAAAAAAAAAAAAAAAAAAAUAUUACCUUUUUUAUGUAAAAAAAAAAAAAAAAAAAAAUGUAUAUAUUAUAUAUAUAUAUACAUAUAUUAACAGUACUGAAAAUUUUGUUUUGCCUUUCUUAGAGAUUUAAAAACGUUUGUUACAAUUACUAAUGUUUACAAUUAUAUAAAAAUAUAUAUAGAUACGUUUGUGCGACACUAGUACAUUUAUAAAUCAGUGCAAAUAAAUAAACAUAACUCGAGCA